ncrna:Manduca sexta (tobacco hornworm) microRNA mse-mir-279b precursor
CACUGGUUGCAGUUGAUGGGUAUAGGUCUAGUAACACAGUUUUAAUAUUCUGUGACUAGAUCUACACUCAUUGAUUGCUUCCAGUU